rnacentral:rRNA from 1 species
AUUGAACGCUGGCGGAAUGCUUUACACAUGCAAGUCGAACGGCAGCACGGACUUCGGUCUGGUGGCGAGUGGCGAACGGGUGAGUAAUGUAUCGGAACGUGCCCAGUCGUGGGGGAUAACGUAGUGAAAAUUACGCUAAUACCGCAUACAAUCUAUGGAUGAAAGCGGGGGAUCGCAAGACCUCGCGCGACUGGAGCGGCCGAUAUCAGAUUAGGUAGUUGGUGGGGUAAAGGCCCACCAAGCCAACGAUCUGUAGCGGGUCCGAGAGGACGACCAGCCACACUGGAACUGAGACACGGUCCAGACUCCUACGGGAGGCAGCAGUGGGGAAUUUUGGACAAUGGGCGAAAGCCUGAUCCAGCCAUUCCGCGUGCAGGAUGAAGGCCCUCGGGUUGUGAACUGCUUUUGUACAGAACGAAAAGGUUUCUACUAAUACUAGGAGCUCAUGACGGUACUGUAAGAAUAAGCACCGGCUAACUACGUGCCAGCAGCCGCAGUAA